UCCGAAGGGGGCGAGCGUUGUUCGGAAUUACUGGGCGUAAAGGGCGCGUAGGCGGCGCACCAAGUCAGGCGUGAAAGCCCUGGGCUUAACCCAGGAAUUGCGUUUGAGACUGGCGUGCUGGAGUGCAGGAGAGGUCGGCGGAAUUCCCAGUGUAGAGGUGAAAUUCGUAGAUAUCGGGAGGAACACCAGUGGCGAAGGCGGCGAUCUGGGAAGAUACUGACGCUGAGGUGCGAAAGCGUGGGGAGCAAACAGG
rnacentral:rRNA from 1 species